rnacentral:rRNA from 1 species
CACGUAGGGCGCGAGCGUUGUCCGGAAUUAUUGGGCGUAAAGAGCUCGUAGGUGGUUUGUCGCGUUGUUCGUGAAAACUCACAGCUCAACUGUGGGCGUGCGGGCGAUACGGGCAGACUAGAGUACUGCAGGGGAGACUGGAAUUCCUGGUGUAGCGGUGGAAUGCGCAGAUAUCAGGAGGAACACCGGUGGCGAAGGCGGGUCUCUGGGCAGUAACUGACGCUGAGGAGCGAAAGCGUGGGGAGCGAACAGG